GGUGGCUUACUAAAUGUGUACAGCGACUACUUUCUUCGAUGGGGACUGCACUUCUGUUCAGACUGCUCAGCUUGUUUACUGGCAUUUCAAUGCUUCAGCAGGUGAUCAGCUGGAGCAUCACCGUACCCAACACAGUUACUGCAGUGGAGGGGAGCUGUGUUGUGGUGCCAUGUCAGACACAACCUCAUUCUAGGGUCAUAUGGUACCAGUACCAUACAAUAACAUAUCCUGUUGUGUAUGAUGGGCGUAGUCCCAAUGCAGUGGAAGAACAGUUCAGAGGACGCACAUCAAUACCGGGUGAAGCUUCAGAGGGGAACUGCAGCCUGAUGAUAGAUAAUGUAAAAACAUCCGACAACAACCUACAAACUUAUGUUUGGAUCAAACCAGACUCUGAAUCAACUCAGAAAUUCCAUCUUAAAACUGUAACUAUCUCUGUUGAGAGACGCGCUAUUAAAAUGCAGAUUCAGAAACGGAUAGUGAAUGGGGAGAUGUUCCAGGCUAACUGCAGCGUAAAGCACUCCUGCCCUUCCUCACCCCCAUCCCUUCAUUGGAACAAAAGUCAAUUUCUAAACGACUCCACUUCAAUGACUAAUGGCACGCUUGAACAGGCCCAGAGGUGGCAUACAGAGACACUUCAUGGACUAGCAACCUAUAAAAUGCAUAACAGCAAAAUGUGGUGCUCUGCAAAGUUCAAAACCUUCACCUCAGAAAGUGAACGGAUAACACUCAACAUUUUAUAUGAACCUGUGAAUGUGACCCUGACACAGCAAAAGGAAUCAGUGAUGGAGGGUGGUAGCGUCACCCUGGAGUGUGGUGCUGACUGUAACCCACAACCACACACGUACAAAUGGCUCAGAAGACAGAUGGGUCAGAUCAAGGGAAUAAAUUCAACUGAGAAAAAAAGACCCUUCAACAAUAUCACGCGAGACACCUCUUUCUCCUGCAUCGCUUACAAUGACAUUGGAACAAGGCAGUCCGACUGGUUGGAUCUGGACGUUCAAUAUGCCCCUGUAAUCGUACCUGAGUCCUACUGCCUCCUGACAGGGGAAAGUCUGAAGUGUGUCUGCAGCGCUGAAGCGUCCCCUUACCCCUCUAUACAUUGGACCAUAGAUGGAAAUUACACUCUUCCGUCUUCCUUCAGCUUUGUUUCCACAAAUAAGAAAAAUGUAGUCUCUGGGGAAAUAAAUUGUGCAGCUCAAAGGCAAUCCAACAUAUCUUGCACCGCCACUAACUACCUGGGCAGCAACACAAAAUUGCUGUCCGUAGAAAGAUCCUCCACGUAUAUCUGGCUGUUAGCUUUUGUGAUCCCAGGAAUUGGUUUGCUAUUUGGAAGUGCAAUGUUCAUUUGCAGGAAAAGAUCGAGAAACAGACCGCCAGCAUACGUUGUGUGCAACACUGAUAUCGUUUUAAGGGAACAAAGAUUACCUCACAACGCAGAACAAGAAGAGAGAUAUGGCAACAUUGAAAGACCGCCAGCAUACGUUGUGUGCAACACUGAUAUCGUUUUAAGGGAACAAAGAUUACCUGACAACGCAGAACAAGAAGAGAGAUAUGGCAACAUUGAAAGAUUUCAAGCUGAGGACAUGCUAUCACCAUGCGGACCAGAUAAAGGCCCAGAUGAGGACAGUUUUUCCUGUGUUUAUGACAAUGAAUUUUUGGAAGAUAUGAAAAAAACCAACCAGAGCUCAACAGCACCACAAUAACAAAAUGGCUUACUGAAGAGAAUGCAAAAUACAGCCACAAGCAAAGGUGCAGUGACUAAGACUCAUGAUUAAAUGAUGCCAUGAUCCAGACCAUCACGUGUGUCACUCAAAGUAGCAUUCAAGAUUUUAAAACUCUAUACAUAGAUGAGAUUGUUAGCAGGAGAAGACCUUGUAACACCAAAUUGUUCCAAGAAUCAAAUGAGAUAGCUUUUUGUAACUAUUGCCAUUAUUAGUUUUGUUUCCAUGAUGAUAAGGAAGAAUAAUUUGUUUAUCUGUUUAUCUGUAUCUGAUCUUAUGCGUAGCUGCAAAUAAAAGCAGGCUCUUGUCCUAAUAAAAUUCAAAUGUUUAUAUCAGGGUUUAUUACUGUAGAGAUCCACUGGGUCCUUAAAUAACAUGCCUAACAUGAAAGUCAACAUGACUUUUGCAUUUUGGUUAAUAUUAACCAAUGGGUGUGUGUUCAUUGCUCGAUGUAAAAAUAAGAUCAGUGAGUCAUACCGGAAUAGAAAGGGACUUUUCGUUUCCGGCUGUUUCUGGAACUUUAUAUCAGCUCAUCUUUGAACUAUAUUGUCUUUGAUGAAACGCACAGCAAGACAAACAGCACGAAGCUUUAUUUAUUUGAAGGCCAAACACUUGAGAAAACGUCCAGUGUAUGAUAAAAAUGGAACCAGGGGUGAGGAGUGAGGUCAUUCUCUCAGCUUACAUCAUUUCCUUUCUCCUUGGCCUCCCAACAAACCUCG